rfam:Hordeum vulgare subsp. vulgare, WGS project CAJW01000000 data, contig: morex_contig_41408
CACAUACUCCCUCCGUCCGGAAUUACUUGACGCAAAAAUGGAUAGAAAUGGAUGUAUCUAGAACUAAAAUACAUCUAGAUACAUCCGUUUCUUCGACAAGUAUUUUCGGACUGAGGGAGUAUUUA